rnacentral:lncRNA from 1 species
UAGAAGUCACGCGCCAACUCCCGAGUUUCCGAACUUGCAUAAUUAAAUUUUGAUGCGCCCACAUUGAAUUGUACAAAAAUUAGUUAAAAUUUACAUUUUUAACUUGUUUUCACUCCGAAUCCCUAUAACCAACACCAAUCAUUAAAUAUAAGCAAAAUCUAUCAAUUAAUGCAAUAUUUGGUAAAAUAAAAGAGGGAAAUGACAGGUGCCGAACCUGUGCAAUAAUAAUAAAUAAAACCUAACUACCACCAAAAGUAGUCAAUAAUCAAUUUUAGGUACUGGAGCAGGGACUUUAAGUAU